GUAAAUUCCGUCCCGCUUGAAUGGUGUAACCAUCUCUUGACUGUCUCGGCUAUAGACUCGGUGAAAUCCAGGUACGGGUGAAGACACCCGUUAGGCGCAACGGGACGGAAAGACCCCGUGAAGCUUUACUGUAGCUUAAUAUUGAUCAGGACAUUAUCAUGUAGAGAAUAGGU
rnacentral:rRNA from 1 species